CAGUCAUUGUGUACUGCGUCAUAGCGGAUAGAGGUACUCGGUAAGCGUUCAAUUGUCGGUGAUCUUUCCGGGACAGAGGAACGUUUAUUUAUUACAGCUUUUCAACAAUAGUUCCAAUCCGCUCAAAGCAACACCACGCCAAGCGUAGCUCACGAUAGUCUACAUUUGACCGCUUCACUCGUCAACAAAAUGGAUCAAGUUGCAGAGUUUACAAUUGAUCAAACUGAACAAGAUAGUUUUCAAGUAAAUGUACAAGUGGAUGCAGAUGAACUUCCAGAUGACCAUAUGACGAUUACUCAGAUUUGUGCCAAGUCGGUAGUCGAAACGAUACUCGAUAUUAAGAAGAGACAAAAGGAAAAUGGCAAUAAUCAAGUUCGCAACUAUCCGAUAAGGCAUAGCAGGUCUUUGAGCCGCGAGGAAUAUGAAAGAACCCGUGGCAACCAAUAAAAUUGCACAGUUACUUCCUUCGUGAAUUAUAAAACUACUCAAAAAUAUUUCAUUCCUAUACCUAAAAUAAUAAAUAAUAGUAUUUAGUUUGUUUUAAGUAAACACAUUGUCUGUUGAAGCAGGAAUUUAUCAGUAACCCAAUUAGCGUCACAAUUUUGAGAAAGUCUUGCCGUAUUGUACUCCUUCCUAUGUAUUGGGUUAAAAUCAAAUAAAUUAGUAAUUUAAAAUAAAAUAAAAACAUAAUACACAGUAAACACAAGUUUUAACUAAGCUAUGAACAUUAUUAGGUAGACCGUUAAUUGACCGAACACCAUUAGGCACUACUUAUCGGCGUAGUUUGAAAAUCUAACCAAAUGUGAGCAGUUAUAGAUGCAAAAUAUAUUUUUCCCCCUAAAAAUAAAAGACAUUUAUAUAAGAUAUAAUAAUAAAUUUCUCUUAAUUGUGCCAUUGGUAUAAGCUGAAGAGGAGGUAAAAUGUAGCCAAAAUAUUUAAUAGUAUAUUCGUUGUGAUGAGUUUAUCCGAGUGCAGACAAUGUGAAUACUUAAAUUUUUUAAAACUUAUAAUAAUAAUAAAACUGUACAACCAUUCAAUCUUGUA